GUACUAUAUAGGAAGGAGGGAGAAAAAGGAAACAACAGGUAAACAUCCCACCCAGGACACGGAUCAACACUGAAUGCAAGUUUGCUAAUAGAGACCUUGAAAUGGGGCAGAAGGGCGUUGGGCAUGCAUGCACAUGCCACUGGUGUGUUUCUCAAGUCACUGAUCUUGCACUCAAACCCCUCAGUCAUCUACGUGGGAUCAAGCUGCAUUUACCACCAUGCCAUGGGCCAGCUGGAGGCCAGGAAGUCAGGACUCCUCUGCAAGUUUCAAACGGAACAGGAUCCAGCAAACUCCUCGAUUUCAGACUUCUAGCCUCCAGAACCG